UCCGACUGUUUAACAAAAACAUAACCUUUAGCCAAACAAGUAUUAAAGGCAACGCCUGCCCAGUGAACAAUUAAACGGCCGCGGUACCCUAACCGUGCAAAGGUAGCGUAAUCACUUGUCUAUUAAUUGUAGACCCGUAUGAAAGGCAAAAUGAGGGCCUAACUGUCUCUUAUAAUAAAUCAAUUAAACUGAUCUCCCAGUACAAAAGCUGGAAUACCAACAUAAGACCAGAAGACCCUGUGAAGCUUAAACUAAACCAUUAAAACACAUAAUAACUACUUUCGGUUGGGGCGACCUUGGAAAAAAAAAGAACUUCCAAAGGCCAACAAGCCAAACAAUAGACCCAGCAAAGCUGAUAAUUGAACCAAGUUACUCCAGGGAUAACAGCGCUAUCUUCCUCAAGAGCCCAUAUCAAAAGGAAGGUUUACGACCUCGAUGUUGGAUCAGGACAUCCUAAUGGUGCAGCCGCUAUUAAGGGUUCGUUUGUUCAACGAUUAAUAGUCCYACGUGAUCUGAGUUCAGACCGGAGA
rnacentral:rRNA from 1 species